GAUGAACGCUGGCAGCGUGCUUAACACAUGCAAGUCGAGCGAGUGAGUUCUUCGGAACGAUCUAGCGGCGGACGGGUGAGUAACACGUGGGCAACCUGCCUCAUAGAGGGGAAUAGCCUCCCGAAAGGGAGAUUAAUACCGCAUCACAUCGUUGAAGGGCAUCCUUCGAUGAUCAAAGGAGCAAUCCGCUAUGGGAUGGGCCCGCGGCGCAUUAGCUAGUUGGUGAGGUAACGGCUCACCAAGGCGACGAUGCGUAGCCGACCUGAGAGGGUGAUCGGCCACAUUGGGACUGAGACACGGCCCAGACUCCUACGGGAGGCAGCAGUGGGGAAUAUUGCACAAUGGGGGAAACCCUGAUGCAGCAACGCCGCGUGAGUGAUGACGGCCUUCGGGUUGUAAAGCUCUGUCUUUGGGGACGAUAAUGACGGUACCCAAGGAGGAAGUCACGGCUAACUACGUGCCAGCCGCCGCCGUAA
rnacentral:rRNA from 1 species